ACACUCUUCUACAAACCAUGUCUGUGCAACAACUAGCAUCUUGAAAGAAAAGCUCCCGUGUAAAACACUGCACAAGAUCUUCCUCCAAACUCUUGCAAAGCAUCUCCAACAAACAAAAGAAGCAAUAAAUUUGGAAAACUGUAUGUAUUUACCACGCUGUGCUUUCUCUAACUGAACCCUCAACUGCCUCUCAGCAUUUUGUAGACCAUGAUAAUAAAUACAUAACUCAUCUUCAUUUGCCCAAGUAACAUCAUCCAACUUUAAUCUAGAAGAGAGCACUCCAUACAGCUCCAUCACCUUCACCACAUCUUCCAUGAACAAAUUUGAUCUUCUCCACUGAUUUGCAUAUUCCACUGCAGCUCCAGUCAAAAGACGCAAUGCAUACAUUACCUGCCUGUGCCUUCCACUCACAAUCUGGUGGAGUUCCACAGCACAUGUUGCGUUCGUCAAUGUGCUCAACCUCAAGACCAAUAAACCAUGAUCCAAGUGACACAUCUUCAUUAGCAUACUUGUGCAAUAUGGGCUGGUUGAUUGAGAUAUAUGUUGCAAGAUCCUUUGAGAUUGCAUAUAUCUGUCCAGUUGCAUGUCGGAAAUAUUUGUUCCCUUCCUCUCCAAAUUUCCAAUACUCUGGUUCAUGAUAUUUGACAUUCUUUUGAGCAAGAACAGG
rnacentral:misc_RNA from 1 species